GAUGAACGCUGGCGGCGUGCCUUAUACAUGCAAGUCGAGCGAACAGACGAGGAGCUUGCUCCUCUGACGUUAGCGGCGGACGGGUGAGUAACACGUGGAUAACCUACCUAUAAGACUGGGAUAACUUCGGGAAACCGGAGCUAAUACCGGAUAAUAUAUUGAACCGCAUGGUUCAAUAGUGAAAGACGGUUUUGCUGUCACUUAUAGAUGGAUCCGCGCCGCAUUAGCUAGUUGGUAAGGUAACGGCUUACCAAGGCAACGAUGCGUAGCCGACCUGAGAGGGUGAUCGGCCACACUGGAACUGAGACACGGUCCAGACUCCUACGGGAGGCAGCAGUAGGGAAUCUUCCGCAAUGGGCGAAAGCUUGACGGAGCAACGCCGCGUGAGUGAUGAAGGUCUUCGGAUCGUAAAACUCUGUUAUUAGGGAAGAACAAAUGUGUAAGUAACUAUGCACGUCUUGACGGUACCUAAUCAGAAAGCCACGGCUAACUACGUG
rnacentral:rRNA from 1 species